rnacentral:rRNA from 1 species
GAUGAACGCUGGCGGCGUGCCUAAUACAUGCAAGUCGAGCGAACGGACGAGAAGCUUGCUUCUCUGAUGUUAGCGGCGGACGGGUGAGUAACACGUGGAUAACCUACCUAUAAGACUGGGAUAACUUCGGGAAACCGUAGCUAAUACCGGAUAAUAUUUUGAACCGCAUGGUUCAAAAGUGAAAGACGUUCUUGCUGUCACUUAUAGAUGGAUCCGCGCUGCAUUAGCUAGUUGGUAAGGUAACGGCUUACCAAGGCAACGAUGCAUAGCCGACCUGAGAGGGUGAUCGGCCACACUGGAACUGAGACACGGUCCAGACUCCUACGGGAGGCAGCAGUAGGGAAUCUUCCGCAAUGGGCGAAAGCCUGACGGAGCAACGCCGCGUGAGUGAUGAAGGUCUUCGGAUCGUAAAACUCUGUUAUUAGGGAAGAACAUAUGUGUAAGUAACUGUGCACAUCUUGACGGUACCUAAUCAGAAAGCCACGGCUAACUACGU